rnacentral:lncRNA from 1 species
UGCUUGAAAUGAAAACAUUCGAAUCUUCUCCUUAAAAACUUUUCUCUCGGGAAUAAUUCUUUGCAGUGAGAGCAUGCGUGACCAUACCGCGUUCCUCUCUGAAUGUACUGAAUACAAAAACUUGUGAGCAAGUAAUACGAGAGAACAAUGGAUUGGAAGAAUUGGGAGGGUCUUGGUCGGAGUCUUCGAGCCUUUCUAAAAACACGCCUGCCCAUGGUCACUCUGUCACAGUGCAAGGGACAAAGAACUCACGGUCUCGAAGGACCUAAGUCAUCUUGCCCACAUCCUGAGUUCCCUCCUGGUCUUCCCUGAGCAACGCUUGCCAUGCUUGUCACACGGAGCUUCUGGAGGGGAACAGAGCGUGCCCACUUCUCGCUCCAGCAAGCAGCCCCCCUCACUGCCCUGCACAGGUGACCACACCUCAGAGGUGAGUGACUUAUCCCGAUACUGGUGACCUGUGUCCAGACACUCCUCACAGCCUCACUCAACCACAGGGCCUUCUUGCCUUCCCCUUGACUCCUCUGAAUUUGUAGCUUCUAACAGAGCCCUGAUUUUGUUCAGUGUUCAACCCCCUCAUGGAGUCAUGUGCACUGGCUGAACACAUUCUGGCUCUAGUGGCAGACUUUGAUUGACCUGAGCCAGAUGCAGUGAUGUUGUGGGGGAGGAGUGGACACACAGCUCAGUUUCUGGCCAGAGCAACUUGAGAGAUCAUCUGCUGGGAGUGUGUAGGCAAGUCCUUGUCACCCGUCAGUGUGAGAGCAGGAAAGGCAUUGGCCCCUUGUGUCUUCUGCCCAUUGCCAUAUCUUAUAUGAUGGCUAUGAAUGCGGAGGAGCUGGACUGCAGAAAGGCGACAGACUGUGAAGGGCUGAGUGGAAAGAAGCAAAGGUUUGUUCCUUGUCCUUAAUGUGGGUGAACCAGCCGCUUUUACUGCGUCUGAGCCCAGCCUUCUUCUGCAGAAGAUAGCACAUUUUAUUAGAGUUAAAACCCAUGGUUUCAGCACAUUAGAAUGCCUACAUGGCUGGUCCCUACCCCAGUAGGGACUCAUGGGGUCUGGGGUUGGGCUUGAGAAUUUGUAUUUCCUUUUGUUUUUAUAGUUUUUAAAAAUUAUUUAUUUGACAGACAGAGAUCACAAGUAGGCAGAGAGGCAGGCAGAGAGAGGGGAAGGGAAGCAGGCUCCCGCCGAGCAGAGACCCUGGUGUGGGGCUUGAUCUCAGAACCCUGAGAUCAUGCUGAGCUNNNNNNNNNNNNNNNNNNNNNNNNNNNNNNNNN